AUGAGUUUGGAAAUGUUGUUUUACCCAAUCUUGAAUGCUAGUGGGAAGCCUUGUAAACCUGGAGCUGUCCUAAGUCUUUCAAUUCAGUACACUCCAGUUGAGAGAUUGAGCAUUUACCAUAAUGGAGUUGGGGUAGGCCAUGAUUACUAUGGGGUUCCUGGCACCUAUUUUCCUCUUAGGACUGGUGGAAAGGUUACUCUUUACCAAGAUGCUCACAUACCAGACGGUUGUCUUCCGAAGCUGAUUUCAGAUGGAGGGAUGCCAUAUGUGCAUGGGAAGUGUUGGAAUGACAUAUUUGAUGCAAUACGUCAAGCAUGUUGUUUGAUUUACAUUGCUGGGUGGUCAGUUUGGCACAAUGUCAAACUGGUUCGGGAUGGUGGUGCUGCAUCAAAUGUUACCAUAGAACAGUAAGUACCUUUCACUUUUUAAAGAUCCAAGUCCCAGGGAGGAGUGAGAGUGCUGCAGCUUGUUUGGGAUGACCCCACUUCAAGGAGCAUUUUUGGGCUAUAGAACAGAGGGAAUCAUGCAAACCCAUGAUGAGGAAAUUCGGUGGUUUUUCAGCACUCUUCGGUGCAAGUAUUGCUUUGCCCCCGCACUGCUGGAAAAUGACAUAUCUGGGUUAAGCAAAGGGAAGUUGGGAUGAUCUAUACACACCAUCAGAAAACAGUAAUUGUGGAUGCUGAUGCUGGCCAUAAUAAGAGGAGAAUCCUAGCUUUUGUUGGAGGUCUUGACUUAUGUGAUGGGCGAUAUGAUACUCCAAACCAUGAACUAUUUAAGACGUUGAAGACAGCGCAUAAAGACGACUACACGCACUUGACCACUUGUUGUCCAAGAGAGCCAUGGCAUGAUUUGCACUCUAGGCUUGAUGGUCCAGCAGCAUAUGUUGUUCUGAACUUUGAGGAGCGCUGGUUAAAGGCUUCAAAACCACAAGGGAUGAAGAAACUGAAAAAAAGCACCUACAAUGAUUCUUUGCUCAAGUUGGAAAGGAUUCCAGACAUAAUUGGAGCAUCCCAUGAGGCUUCCACUAGUGACUACAAUCCAGAAACUUGACAUGUUCAGAUCUUCCGUUCGAUUGAUUCAAACUCUGUUAAAGGUUUCCUAAAGGAUCCAAAAGAAGCAACAAGCACGAAUCUGGUGUGCCGAAAGAAUGUGCUGAUUGACAUGACUCGACAUGAGCAUACAUACAGCAUAUGUGAAGGCCAUCCGUGCUGCUCAGUAUUUCUUAUAUAUAGAGAAUCAAUAUAUUAUUGGGUCUUCAUACAAUUGGAGUCAAUAUAAAGACUUAGGUGCGAAUAAUUUGAUUCCCAUGGAAAUUGCCAUUAAGAUUGCUGAAAAAAUCAGAGCAAACCAGAGAUUCGCUGCGUAUUUUGUUAUUCUAAUGUGUCCAGAAGGUGUUCCAACUGGUGCAGCAACACAAAGAAUUCUAUUUUGGCAGGCAUUUAGUCAAAAAAGCAGGCAAUUUAUGAUUUAUGUUCAUUUGAAAGGUAUGAUAGUCGAUGACAAGUUGGUAAUACUGGGUUCCGCGCAUAUCAAUCAGCGCUCUAUGGAAGGGACGAUAGACACUGAAAUGGCAAUGGGGUCCUACCAACCUCAUCAUGCAUGGGCAAGAAAUCAUUGUAGUCCUCUCGGGACAGAUAUUUGGAUAUAGAAUGUCACUGUGGGCAGAGCACACAGGAACCAUUGAGGACUGUUUUAGAGAACCAGUCUUGAAUGUGUUAGGAGAGUUAGAGCAAUGGGUGAGUUGAACUGGAAACAAUUUGCUGCUGAGGAGGUUACAGAGAUGAGGGGUCAUCUAUUGAAGUAUCCAGUUGAAAUUGAUCGAAAAGGCAAAGUCACAUCCCUUCCUGGAUGUGAGAGUUUCCCCGAUGCAGGAGGAAAUAUAACCGGUUCUUUCCUUGGCAUUCAAGAAAAUUUGACAAUUUGAUCACCAGUUCAGUUUUAUAGAACUCAGUUAGUACAGUUUUGAAACGUUUCUUUUGUUGUAUUUAGCAAACCCAUAGUAGGAUAGGGUUCUGUUUUAUUCGAUAAGGAUGUAGGCGCUUUUA